AAGAAAUCAGAUGGCACCUUCAGUGCUCUGCUUGGACCCUCUCCAUAGCCAAAUCACCUUGUGCGUAAGGUGCUAUGCCAUUUCAUUCCAUCAGAGCCUCAUGCAGAAGAUAUACUGAAGAGGACACAGAAAGGUAAACGUACACUUCAAACACGGCCGGAACAGUUGGGUUCCCAGAGCGGUGCUUGGUGUAAAAGCC